rnacentral:rRNA from 1 species
UACGUAGGGGGCUAGCGUUGUCCGGAAUCAUUGGGCGUAAAGCGCGCGUAGGCGGCCCGGUAAGUCCGCUGUGAAAGUCAAAGGCUCAACCUUUGAAUGUCAGCGGAUACUGCCAGGCUAGAGUCCGGAAGAGGCGAGUGGAACUCCUGGUGUAGCGGUGGAAUGCGCAGAUAUCAGGAGGAACACCGGUGGCGAAGGCGGGUCUCUAGGCCGACACUGACGCUGAGGAGCGAAAGCGUGGGGAGCGAACAGG